AUGAUGGCAGAGUUGAUUGC
rnacentral:misc_RNA from 1 species